GCCGGAGUGGCGAAAUGGCAGACGCACUGGACUCAAAAUCCAGCGGUGGCAACACCGUGUGGGUUCGACUCCCUCCUCCGGCA
rnacentral:tRNA from 1 species